ACAGAAGGGAGCUUGCUCCCGGAUGUUAGCGGCGGACGGGUGAGUAACACGUGGGUAACCUGCCUGUAAGACUGGGAUAACUCCGGGAAACCGGAGCUAAUACCGGAUAGUUCCUUGAACCGCAUGGUUCAAGGAUGAAAGACGGUUUCGGCUGUCACUUACAGAUGGACCCGCGGCGCAUUAGCUAGUUGGUGAGGUAACGGCUCACCAAGGCGACGAUGCGUAGCCGACCUGAGAGGGUGAUCGGCCACACUGGGACUGAGACACGGCCCAGACUCCUACGGGAGGCAGCAGUAGGGAAUCUUCCGCAAUGGACGAAAGUCUGACGGAGCAACGCCGCGUGAGUGAUGAAGGUUUUCGGAUCGUAAAGCUCUGUUGUUAGGGAAGAACAAGUGCAAGAGUAACUGCUUGCACCUUGACGGUACCUAACCAGAAAGCCACGGCUAACUACGUGCCAGCAGCCGCGGUAAUACGUAGGUGGCAAGCGUUGUCCGGAAUUAUUGGGCGUAAAGGGCUCGCAGGCGGUUUCUUAAGUCUGAUGUGAAAGCCCCCGGCUCAACCGGGGAGGGUCAUUGGAAACUGGGAAACUUGAGUGCAGAAGAGGAGAGUGGAAUUCCACGUGUAGCGGUGAAAUGCGUAGAGAUGUGGAGGAACACCAGUGGCGAAGGCGACUCUCUGGUCUGUAACUGACGCUGAGGAGCGAAAGCGUGGGGAGCGAACAGGAUUAGAUACCCUGGUAGUCCACGCCGUAAACGAUGAGUGCUAAGUGUUAGGGGGUUUCCGCCCCUUAGUGCUGCAGCUAACGCAUUAAGCACUCCGCCUGGGGAGUACGGUCGCAA
rnacentral:rRNA from 1 species